CAUUGAUACUGGUUUCCUUGAGUGUAGUUGAAGUGGGCGGAAUGUGUAUUGUAGCGGUGAAAUGCUUAGAUAUUACACAGAACACCUAUUGCGAAGGCAGCUCACUAAACUAAUACUGACGCUGAGGCACGAAAGCGUGGGGAGCAAACAGGAUUAGAUACCCUGGUAGUCCACGCCGUAAACGUUGAUUACUCGAUGUGUGCGAUACACUGUACGCGUCUGAGCGAAAGCAUUAAGUAAUCCACCUGGGGAGUACGAUCGCAAGAUUGAAACUCAAAGGAAUUGACGGGGGCCCGCACAAGCGGAGGAACAUGUGGUUUAAUUCGAUGAUACGCGAGGAACCUUACCUGGGCUUAAAUGUAGACUGAUUUCCACCGAAAGGUGGUUUCCCUUCGGGGCAGACUGCAAGGUGCUGCAUGGUUGUCGUCAGCUCGUGCCGUGAGGUGUCGGGUUAAGUCCCAUAACGAGCGCAACCCCUAUCGUUAGUUGCCAGCGAGUAAUGUCGGGGACUCUAGCGAAACUGCCGGUGUAAACCGUGAGGAAGGUGGGGAUGACGUCAAAUCCAGCACGGCCCUUAUGUCCAGGGCUACACACGUGUUACAAUGGCCGAUACAGAGGGCAGCUACCUGGUAACAGGUUGCAAAUCUCGAAAACCGGUCUUAGUUCGGAUCGGAGUCUGCAACUCGACUU
rnacentral:rRNA from 1 species